GAUGAACGCUGGCGGCGUGCCUAAUACAUGCAAGUCGAGCGAACAGACGAGGAGCUUGCGCCUCGGACGUUAGCGGCGGACGGGUGAGUAACACGUGUAUAACCUACCUAUAAGACUGGUAUAACUUCGGGAAACCGGAUCUAAUACGGGAUAAUAUAUUGAACCGCAUGGUGCAAUAGUGAAAGACGGUUGUUCUGUCACUUAUAGAUGGAUCCGCGCCGUAUUAGCUAGUUGGUAAGGUAACGGCUUAGCAAGGCAACGAUGCGUAGCCGACCGCAGGGGGUGAUCGGCCACACUGGAGCGGGAACACGGUCCAGACUCCUACGGGAGGCAGCAGUAGGGAAUCUGACGCAGUAGGCGAAAGCCUGACGGAGCAACGCCGCGCGAGUGAUGACGGUCUUCGGAUCGUAAAACUCUGUUACUAGGUAAGAACAAAUGUCUCAGUAACCAUGCCCGUCUUGACGGUACUUAAUCAGAAAGCCCCGGCUAACUACGUG
rnacentral:rRNA from 1 species